UAAUAUUUAGGAAAAUAUGAAUUUCAGCUUAAAUAUGAUGCUUGGCUAGAUUCAGUCUUCUAGGAUUAGUCUCAUUUCUUCAGGAGAACCCGGUGUUUCUAUGGGGUUCCGUAAACUUCUCAACAGAAUCCGCAUCAUGUUUACAAACAAGAGGGUACCAGCAGCAGCAGAUAGAAAUAAGGAGGCUAUUUGUUCUGUUUUAAAGAAAAUCCUACCUACUGAUAUGGACCUUAGAGCUUUAGAAAUUGCUUCUGGUUCUGGUUUGCAUGCAGGACAUCUAGCAGCCGCGUUCCCGAGAAUAACUUGGAUACCUAGUGAACUAGAUAGAUCCCACUGGCCUAGUAUAUUAGCAUACAAGGCCGACUUCUCCAAUAUUGAGAAUCCCCUGGAGAUAGAUGUAAUCCAGGCUCCGGGAUCCUGGAUCCCUCAGAUCCAGUCACAGUCUAUAGAUAUCAUUAUUAAUAUAAAUAUGAUCCAUAUCUCUCCCUGGUCAGCAACACAGGGACUAUUCAGGGCUGCCGGAGAAUUGUUAAAGAAGGACGGAGUGUUGAUUACAUACGGACCAUACUCAAAGAACGGUAUUCUGAGACCUGAAAGUAAUGCAAACUUUCACAGGCAGUUACAAAACCAGAAUUCUGAAUGGGGUAUUCGAGAUAUCACAGACCUUUCAGAAGAGGGAAAUGAGCAUGGUUUACGGUUACAUGAAGAGUUUGAUAUGCCGGCAAAUAACAAGAUACUUGUCUUCAGAAGAAAUACUUGCUUGGGAUAGAUAAAUACAUAGAUUCGAUUCAUCAACACAAAGUUACUGCAAUGAAUACUAUAUACUGUAUAGUGUACGUUUAUGUUUCUCUAUAAGCAAUUUUAGAUUAAUUUUAUUAAGAAUUAGUAACUGUACAGUGUACACUUCGUUUAGAAUCUACAAAGGAUAAACAGGUUACCAUUACAUUAAAAAAUAAUGGUCCUGUACUCUGGACAAGGAAAAUGUCAUCCUGAAUUCAGUUUUUUUUAAUAAUGUAGUUUUUUAAUAUAAAAAUAAUAUUAAAGAAAUGAAAAAAAAAUUGAAAAAAGUUUGACAAUUAUUGGAGUGAUGCGACGAUUUUGAGGAAAAUUUUUAGUUUUGCCUAUUUUUAUACAGAAAAUAUUUUUGCUAUUUUGUAUAAUACUUUUAUUAGAUUAAAGGAAUAGACAUUUACUCGUAAUAUGAUUUAGGUAUUUAAUAAACAAAUGUGAAUUAAUUCCGUGACUAACUGAUGUUCAAUCAGACCAACGCAUUUAGAUCAAUUCUGUACUAGCCGAUACGAAGGAGCUUUCCUAUUUUCUUUGUUCCUUAAAUGCCUUAUAUGCAGUUAGUUUCGUAUGUUUUUCAUGAAUUAAACUAGUUAAUUUUUAUUGUCCUAGCACCAUUUACUUGUUUCAAUCGAAUAAAAAAUAUUUUGA
rnacentral:misc_RNA from 1 species